CAAAUGUGAAUUUUUUUAAAAAAAGAAAACUCCCUGGUCUUCCAUUUGCUGCGUGGGACACCUCCUUGGCGAGUGACAUGUGAAAGUACCAGGAACGUGAAGGCUCAUUUUUUUUUUUUUUUUUUUAGACGGGAAACGUCGUCUUCUAGCAAUAGGUAUGUCCCAGUGCAGACGGGGAUGCCGUAACAAUGAGAGCUCCUGUAUUCCUAAUUUCAAGGAUUAUUAAAAUUCCUGGCUGCAGCAAGGGAGACCAGAAAAUCAGCAACGCCACAGCUGCAGGAGGCCGUAAGCUCCUUGAAGGCCGGGCCAUGUCUGUUCUGUCUCGAUCUGCCACAAGCAAAAUGCACACAGUAGGUCUUCAAGUAUCUACUGAAUGAAUGGUGCUUGAAUCCUCAAUACAAGAAUUAGAAAGAACAUGAUUUGGGGGCUUGAGUGUUCCAAUCUGAGCAACCUCAUGGACACCUUUUCUCUGAUGACGAUGUCGGGAUCCACACAAAACACCACUGGCUAUGAGCUUCGCUGACUUUUCCUGGCCUGCGAACCAAGUUCACUGGUUCAUCGGACGCUUUGCCGCAUGCUGGUCUCUUCAUUAUGUUUUUCCUCUGAUUUGGCUACGAUUUAGGAAAGGGUCGCACCUCAGAUGUUCGUUUUGCAAAUAAGGUGGCUGAAGGAAAAAAAAAAAAAAAAGCGAUGUCAAGUCUCACAUUUCGGAGAUACUUGGGCUUCUUCUUCACUCUGAGAUAGAAAUGUAUCUUCCAAUUUGCUCGGCCCUCUAAGCUCCUGCAACAUUAAAUGUGAACGUUUCCG